rnacentral:rRNA from 1 species
UACGAAGGGGGCUAGCGUUGCUCGGAAUUACUGGGCGUAAAGCGCACGUAGGCGGCUUCUUAAGUCGGAGGUGAAAUCCUGGAGCUCAACUCCAGAACUGCCUUCGAUACUGGGAAGCUCGAGUCCGGGAGAGGUGAGUGGAACUGCGAGUGUAGAGGUGAAAUUCGUAGAUAUUCGCAAGAACACCAGUGGCGAAGGCGGCUCACUGGCCCGGUACUGACGCUCAGGCACGAAAGCGUGGGGAGCAAACAGG